GGGGAGAGAGGAAGGGACGCUGUGCUUCCCCUUGUUAUCCUUGCUAUCCACGUGCCCCCCCUUGUUAUCCUCGUGCUCCCGGCCUUGUAGCGGUGCCGUGGCGGGGCGUGUAGGCGUUGACAUCACUCACGGUCAUCGGCACUGCCCAUACACUCAGUCCACCCUGGCGGGGACCUCACCAAUGACCUCCAUGAAAACAGGGUCCCAGACAAGCCAGUUGGUCUGAAGGCCAUGGCACUGAAUGACCACAUCAGGGUGUGCUGGCAGCCCCCCGCACAGCACAAUGUGCUGCUGUGCGGCUACACCAUUGCCUGGGACCAAGGCGUGGCGGACAUCUACUCCAAGAUCGUGGACAGCAAGCAGCACGGUUACAUCAUUGAUAAGCUGGAACCCAACAUGGAGUUUGUGAUAAGCCUGCGAGCCUUCAACAACGUGGGUGACGGGCAACCAGUGUACCAGCAAGUCCACACCCAGCCAGAGGAGGAGGAGGUGGUGGCACCCACGCUGGACCCGGCGGUGUGGGUGAAGGCCGUGGUGCUGACGCCCUUCACCGUGGUGCUGCAGUGGGCGGACACCAUGCUGAGCCAGAGCCAGCUGCACCACCUUCUCGUCCUCAUCCUCCAGCCGCUACGUCAACGCCACGGAUGUGACCUGCCUCAUUGACAGCCUCAAGCCAUCAACAGUGUGUGAGUUUGCUGUGAAGACCAUCAGGGUGAGACCACAGUGCUGGAAGCCUUCGUUCUUCUUUCAGUAAAUAUUCACUCAGUCCGGCAACACUUCUCAAGGAAAUCCUGCACAGCUGAAUCCUUGCUAUGAUGAGGCACAGAGAAAUUAUGACUCAUAGGGUUUGGCGUGAGUCCCCCUAUAGCCUGGUAGCCUCCAACACCCUGCUGGUGGCCUGGCCGUCCUGGCCCUCCCUGGCCAGCCGUCCACCACCACCUUCACCCGGCAGCCGCUGCAGCGGAACAAUGGGAGGAUCACAGGCUACGUGAUAUUCCUCACCACGGACCAAACUGUCGGUGACUGGGUGAUGGGGGAAGUGACGGGGGACUGGCUCACCCUUACCGUCCAUGGACUGACGCCUUCAAGGAAGUAUUUGGACAAGAUGCACUCUCACAAUGUCAAAGGUUUUGGUCCAUUCUCCUCCGUGGAAAGCUUCACGACUCUUCCAGCUGUUGACAAGAGCAUCGGUGAGCCCCCUGGCUGGUGUGUGGAGCGAGAGGCCUGAUUGUGCUGGUGAUCGCUGGCGUGGCAGGAGCCAUGACCAGCUGGGGGCCUUCUUGGCCACCACGCUGUACUGCCGCGGGUCAAGGCGGAGCCCAGGCCAAGCAUUGUUCUUGGCAGCAGCUGCAGUGAGAGCAACAAGCCUGGCGUCCAGCCUCCAGACCUGUGGAUCCAUCACGGCCACUUGGAGCUGAAGAACUUUGACAAGGGUGAGCGCAGCAACUCCCCCAACCACGCCUCCAUCAUCCAGCACACAGGAGUCGCGUCACAUCACAAUGGGACCGAAAAAGGACGAGAAGGGACAAGACAAGAAGAAAAGAUCUUCUGCUGCCUCUCCUGAUGAUGAUGAGCAACAAGAAGACACUCAAGAACAACCUGCCAAGAAAGUGAAGGGACGAUCCAAGAAGAGGUCAUUGUCUGCUACCGGGGAGACACCCCCUCCUCCAGCCCUCUUGCGUCACCAAUCCACUUGGACACAGGAGCCCCAACCUGGUCAUGAUGAUGCUGGGGCCUCAGCAUCACCAGACCUUGGGAGCAGCAGCCCAGUGCCAACACCAGGCCACAGGACCCCAGGCUGCCCAGCCCACUGCCAGUGCCGGGGAUCUUCAGACCCAUCUCCAGCCUUAGGGAAUGGAGGGCGGAGGGCUGCAGUGGCGGUGGCGGCUAUAAUUUGAGUCAACAGGAGGAAGAAGAAGAAGAAGGAGGAGGAGGAAGUGAUAAUAAGAGGAAUACCAAAAGAAGAACAAGAAUUUGAACAGUAGUAAUAGUAUUUGACUCUACACAUUCUCCCUCCCUCUCUCUCUCACACACACACACACACACACACACACACACACACACACACACACACACACACACACAGAGAAAACAUUUGAAAAUUCCUUAUUUCUAAUGUUUAUUAAUUUACAUUCUUACAUCAAUUUCCAAGUCAGUCUCAAUAGUACAUACAACACGAACAUAUACAUACAUACAUAAGUGUUUUCUCCUCCCUAUCUUUUUAUACUCCAGUUAGGUUCCUUCUUCUUGUGCUCAGUUCAUUGUAUUCCUUCUUUCCUGUUCUAUUUCUUCCCUCUCUGUCUCUUCCCUCUCUCCCUCUCCAUUCCUUCCUCAUAUCUGCUUCCUUUCCAUUCUAUAUUUCUAUCUCUUCAUUAGGUUUUUAUCCAUUUUUCUUUCAUUACACACACACAUAUAUUUGAGGCAUUUGGAAGGGAGGGGACGUAAGGGAAAGGCCCAUUGUGUUCUAGUCUGCACUGGGAAAGGAAGGUCCGGCUAUUCUAUGCAUUCCGAGAAACAAGUUGCAAGGGAAAAGCGACCUUGUGUUGGACGUACCAAGAGUUGCUUUCCCCUUGUAACUUGUGUUUUGUUCCUCCUGGGAUGUGUAGGAUAGCCAGACUUUCCCUUCCCAGUACAAACUAGAAAAAAAUAGGACUGUUCCUUAUGUCCCUCCUCCUCUGAAAGCCUCAAAUAUACAGUUACAGAUAACUGUACUUUACACAUUAACCUUGUAUAUAUUUCCUUUUUCUCAUCUCUGUUUAACUUCCUUAUUUAUCACUCAAGUUCUUUCUCCCUCCCUUUCAUCAUCUUUCUUCAUCUGUUUACCUGUCUACUCCUUCCUUGGGCUACCAGUGUCUCUCUCUCUCUCUCUCUCUCUCUCUCUCUCUCUCUCUCUCUCUCUCUCUCUCUCUCUCUCUCUCUCUCUCUCUCUCUCUCUCUCUCUCUCUCUCUCUCUCUCUCUCUCUCUCUCUCUCUCUCUCUCUCUCUCAGCUCACAGGCCACACAGGAUGUCACCCACAGGAAGUUGAUAACAUCCCACAGACACAUGCCCUCCCCCAGACACAUAAUGGACCCUAUCCUGACCCGCCCCCCUACAUAGCCACAUGACCUUCCUUAUGUCACUAUGUGUAUGUGUGUGUGUUUGUGUUCCAGCAAUAAAAAUAUCAAUUUGCAGAGUGUGUUUUGUAUUACAUUCAAAUGGGUUUCAAGAAAGAUAGAGAGAGAAGGAAGAAGAGAUGAGAGAGGACGGGAGGUAAAAAGGUGACAAGAGAGAGAGGAAGAAAGCAUCCAGAACAACAACAGUUUCCCUUGAGCUGCUUCACUAAAUAACAAUAAAAAUCAUGAUGAAACUAAAUAAAUAGAUACACCAAAUAAACAAAUAUAUAACAGAAAACCCAUGAAAUUAAUACAGGAAAUCUCUCUGGUGUCCAACUAGCCAGGAAUAAAUAGCAUAGGAUACCAGUGCCAAGUACUAGUACAUAUAAUACAUUGCUCCAUGGUGCUGUGGCUGGCAUGCCUACCUACCAAUCCGCUGGCCAGGGUUUGAAUCCCGGCCUGGGCAGUCAGUAUGCAGGUCAUCCUUUGUGUCUGGGUGAUCAUGUGUACCUGGAGACCCCUGGGGAGGCACCUGUGGUAGUUUGAGUGUGUCCCAGGGUGCUGGGCUCCUGCCUCCACGGCCUCCAGGGGCAAUGUAACAGAGAUGAGCACUGAGGCCACGCACACCAAACUUUACUUUUGACCUGGCCUAAGGAUAUGGGAUGUCUGGAUUUAACUCUACAAGAACACAACUAAAUAAGGAUUGGUGUACAGCAGCCGGGCUGCUCAAGUGGUGGCCGCAGUCUGCAUCUGGACCUUGUGAGUAUUGUGGCCACGGG